UUAAAGAGCUGGACCUGCUGUAAUCAAGGCUACUGGAGUUAGUUUGAUCAACACUCCUGGCCGCUUCCCAGACCAACUGUGAAGUGAUUUAGACUUGGGAAAGCAUAGGGAAUUCAAUAGACCAUGAGUGGUUGUUAGAGUUUAAACUUUCAGAAAGAUAACCUGGGGAAAGGAGAUGAAGGAAGAAUUGUGACUAACAACAGGCCACUUUGAGUCUUUGUAAAGGAUAUACCUUUUUACACAAAGAGAUAAAGCCAUCUCGAAUACUUGUGAACCAAAAGUGAUUUUUUAAGUUCUGCAUUCAGCAUUGUGUGGGCUGGUUGUCAGAAAUUCCUAGAGGACACAGUUUUGAAGCUUUUCUGGAUAAAGAUCAGGGAUAUCCUCCUAACUAAAAGGUCUUAGGUGUAUGACUUGGAUAUACUACUUAAUUACUCUGGUCUCAUUUUACUCAUCUGGAAGUGGGAUAAAGAACUUCAGCCCUCACACUUGAAGGUGAAGAUUAAAUACAUGAAGUGGUGUGUAAAUACAAGAAUAGAAGACAAUGUCGGGUCUGCAGGAGAUAGAAUUAGACUUGCCGGAUGAUGAUGGCUGGAGUGGGGAUGCAGCCACCGCUCUUGGCAGCGUGGCACACCACUCAGGGAUGCUCCGUCAUGGGAUUCUAUCGCUUUCUCAGGCUGACUGGUGGAGGGACUUUUAACUCACAACAUAUUAUAAUUUUCCAGAAAGCACAGACUACUCUGAUGAGCAGGAAACUCUGCUCAUUGCAGCAACUCUGGCUAUCAUUGCAGCAAGUUUUGUUCAAAGGAUGCAGAUUCAUGACUUGUGCUGGGAUCAGAAAACCUCUGGAGCAACGAUUACAGUCAUGGCCACCUGGGCAAGGAUAAUAGCGGCCAAACCUCCUGGUUCCAAGUUAGAAAUAAAAUGCGUUGAAGUUGAGGACUUACAA